rnacentral:rRNA from 1 species
UACAGAGGGUGCAAGCGUUAAUCGGAAUUACUGGGCGUAAAGCGUGCGUAGUCGGUUAUCUAAGUCGGGUGUGAAAUCCCCGGGCUCAACCUGGGAAUUGCAUUCGAUACUGCAUAACUAGAAUCUCGGAGAGGGUGGUGGAAUUCCCAGUGUAGAGGUGAAAUUCGUAGAUAUUGGGAGGAACACCGGUGGCGAAGGCGACCGCCUGGACGAAGAUUGACGCUGAGGCGCGAGAGCGUGGGGGAGCAAACAGG